rnacentral:lncRNA from 1 species
AAAAUUUACUGUCUACUGCAGGUCUGGUGGUGAUUGGAGUACAACUUAUGCUCCUUCUCCAUUCUAUAUGACAUCGAAGAUGAGGUCGCUUUACCUUGAAGGUUAUAAUUAUUCAGUUUUUGAUCUAACAAGACUCGAUAGAGUUCAAAUACAGGUAAUUCUUAAUGUUGCUUGUUAGACUUGUCCAGGCAGUUUGAGAUUCAAAAAUUACAUGUUUAUAAUUCAAUAUUUAUUUUGAUAAUUGCAAUAUAACUGAGGCCAGUGUUUACAGGAACUAAUAGUAUUGCAAAUUUGAGGGGGAAAUAAUAACCAUACAAAAGUAUUCUAUUAUCAUUAUUUUGUGAUUUUUUUAAUUUUUUUUUUUACAAUUUCAACUUAACGAAAAGCUAAAUAAGAUUUUUUUUUUUCUCAUGAAUAAGGGGACGUUCAUCUCCGGAGAAAGUACAAAAAAUGAAAUAAUAAUCUUUUAGUACUUGUAGAACAGAUUUGGGAUUUACUCGUAUUACAAACUAACUAACCUCGGGACUCUGGAAUUAUGGCAUGUUGGCAGAUACAUGGAGAUUCAGUUGAAGGUAGAAUAUUGCAUGGGAAUUCACCUUCUGAGCUCAUUGAAUGCUUUACAGAAACUAUUGGGAGACCUCCAGAGCUUCCUAGUUGGAUAAUUUCAGGUGCUGUGGUGGGAAUGCAAGGUGGUACAGAUACUGUACGCCGUGUUUGGGAUGAACUGAAAACAUAUGAUGUCCCUGUUUCAGCAUUUUGGUUGCAGGUAAAUUUUGUUAUAGAGAAUCAUACAAAAAGUACUUCCAAUGAAAAUGUUUUCCCUUCGCAACAAACAUUUGGAAAUUCUAAUAUCCUGUCACUGUUAAGGAUACAGAUUUUCUCAAACUUUACAAGUUUUAGGAUUUGAGUUUUAUAUUUGAUUAGUAUUAAUUUUUUUAAUAAUAAUAAAAAAAACACAUCCUUUUCAUAAUUAGGAUUUGAACUUUCAACAAAGAUGAGAACUUCUGCCUCUGUAUCCUAAUCUUCUCUUCUCCUUCUCUUUUCUGAUUCUAUAAGAAUUUAAUUCAGGGACAAGUAGAAUCUCUUCAUCAGAUGAUUCAAUAAAAUAUUUUAAAUCUAUAUCAAAUCGAUAGGUGCAUGUAUCAAUCAAAUGAAUUUCAUUCUUCUGGGAACAUUUUGGGAAAAUAAAGCAUAAAACUACUAUUGUAUUGUUGUGCAGGACUGGGUAGGCCAGAGGGAGACUGUGAUCGGAUCCCAACUUUGGUGGAAUUGGGAAGUGGAUACUACAAGGUAUAGAGGAUGGCAGAAACUAACUAAAGACCUCUGUGCUCAGCAGAUUAAAGUGAUGACAUACUGCAACCCUUGUUUAGCUCCGGUAAAUCUCUAGAACAAUUUUAGGAGCAAUUAUUAAAACUAUACAACAUGAUACAUGUGCUGUUAUUUUUGAAAAAAAUGAUAGAAUUAGAAUAUGCGAGUAUGUUUUGAAGCUCUUACUUGUAACAACAGAUGGAUAAAAAGACAAAUAUAAGGAGAAACCUCUUUGAGGAGGCAAAAAAGUUAGACAUCUUAGUGAGAGACAAGAAUGGAAAACCAUACAUGGUUCCUAACACAGCCUUCAAUGUGGGAAUGUUGGAUUUGACACACCCACAUGCAAGUAGUUGGUUCAAGCAGGUUUUACAGGAAAUGGUGGAUGAUGGAGUCAGGGGAUGGAUGGCUGAUUUUGGUGAAGGCCUGCCCGUGGACGCCUUCCUCUAUUCAGGUUUGAUUAUGCAAACUGCUUUCUUGAAUGAUUUUGAAUUUUUGAUAAUGCCACCCCAAUCGGAUGUAAGAUCAUAUUGUAUAUUUUAUGGUGCUAAGGAAUAAAAUCCAUCUUCUGUAGUGUAAUAAGUUGUGCAAAAGUAUUACUAACAACUUUCCACUAUUUCCGUUCCUACUCUCUUAUAGUAAAGAUGGUACUGACAUCAAAAUUCAUCCAUAAAGACUUGUGUAAGAGACUUCUAACAAGCGUAAGAGAAGAGGGGAGGGGGGGAUUUCCACUCCAAUUUUUAGUUCUCAACAUCAAUUAUGACAAAAUACGUUUACCUUGACAUUCUGUAUUUUUUUUGUCAACUGUCAAAUAGAUUGAUAUUUUAUAAAUGGACAUCCAAGGUUCAGCCAUGACUUUAAGAAGCACAUUAUUUUUCAACUAAUUUUUUCCCCCUUCAGAAUCAUUUAACUGGAUUUCCACAACAACAAAAUUUAUACGCACUGCAUAUUUAGUUUCUCUUCAAUGCAAAAACGAGAAGAAUUUUAGUAAUAUUAUGGUUAAAAAUUUCAAGAUACUUAAAUUAAGGUCAUGUUUUACUAUUCCUUCAGGUGAAGAUCCUAUCUCUGCCCAUAAUAGAUACCCAGAGCUAUGGGCCAAGAUAAACCACGAGUUUGUGGAAGAAUGGAAAAGUGCACGUAUAGGUAAGGAGAAGGAAGACCCAGAGGAGGCCUUAGUUUUCUUCAUGAGAGCAGGUUUUAGGAACAGUCCUAAAUAUGCUAUGCUAUUUUGGGAAGGGGACCAAAUGGUAAGUUGGCAGGCUAAUGAUGGGAUAAAAAGUUCAGUUGUCGGGUUGCUGAGUGGUGGACUUUCUGGCUAUGCUUUUAACCAUAGUGAUAUUGGAGGAUACUGUGCAGUAAACUUACCAUUUUUGAAGUAUCAUAGAAGCGAGGAGUUGCUAUUGCGAUGGAUGGAGUUAAAUGCCUUCACCACUGUAUUUCGGACUCAUGAAGUAAGUUAUAAGUCUGCCACCUGAAAUGCAUAAUUAUGAAAUAUCGUCCACAUAAUCAAAUACAGUUAAAUAUAUUAGGCUAUUGUGAGUCUGUGACACUUAUAGCAGCUCUAUGAAUUGAAAAGUCUAAUAUUGUGGUAAUUUUAAAUGUCCUGUUCUCAGAUACAUCAACUUUGUGAUUCAUAAGUAACAAUCUAUUUUCUUCCUGGUUUAGAGUAGUCCCUUAAAAGAUAUAGACCAUAUAUAUUAAUAAUUGUUGAAGAAUUUAAAGCAGUAAAAAUCAUUGUGAUUCUCCGAAGUCCUAAUAUAUUAAUAUGCCAAGUAAUAUAUUGCAUUCGAAGACAGGUUUAAACCACGAGGUCCAUUUUUACUUUGAAAGAAAUAUAAUAAUGCUAUUUAUUUCAUGAAAUUUACUUCAGGCAAGUUAUAUAACAAGUUUGUGGUUCUGUAAACAGGGAAACAAGCCAUCUUGCAACAGCCAGUUUUACUCGAACCACAAAACUUUAUCGCAUUUUGCACGUUUAGCAAAUGUGUAUAAAGCUUGGAAGUUUUACAGGAUACAACUUGUUAAGGUGAUGCUAGAACUCAAUUGAUAUUUUAUUUACUCUUGACAUACAAAGUCUACAAUGCACAAACAAUCUAAUUUAAUUUGCAUGUUUCAUCUAUCAGGAAGCUUCUCAGAAAGGCCUCCCUGUUUGCCGCCACCUAUUUCUUCACUACCCAGAUGAUGAACAUGUGCAUAGCUUGACAUAUGAGCAAUUUCUUGUUGGUACAGAGAUUCUAUUAGUGCCUGUUCUAGACAAAGGCAAAAAGAAUGUUAAGGCCUAUUUUCCAAUAGGAGAAAGGUAUCCAUGGAAACAUAUUUGGACAGGAAAUCUAUACGAAGAACAAGGUUCAGAAGCAUGGGUCGAAGCUCCAAUUGGUUAUCCUGCGGUUUUUAUUAAGGAUGGCUCGGUUAUUGGAGAGACCUUUAUAAAAAAACUAAUAGAAUUCAAUAUUUUGUAAAGAAGUAGCCACAACAAGAUGUAUACAUCAGAAUAUAGUUGUCAACUUUUCAAGAUUGUAGGUACUCCCAUCCUUGUAUGCAGCAAGCCAGAAGUUCUAUUUUUGUAUGUUAGAUUACAAUUGGUUGUACAAUCCAAAUAAUCUGUUCAGUGUAAUUAUUUCAGUUUUUGCUAUAUCAAUAUCAUUAUGUACUUGCAAAGUGAUUAGUUAAUGAUCGACAGCCAAUAAUCUCGGAGGUUCCUGCAUAAAAAUUCAGCACCAUUCAGACAUUAAAACAAACAUCUUCGUGUAUCAAUCAAGAAUACCUCGUCAGGCAUUAAAACAAAGUAACAAACAUCUUCAUGUAUCAAUCAAGAAGACUUCUUUUCCUCUGAAAGCUGCUUCUAAUUGACCAAAAUUUGACACCCAACAAUUCAAAUUAUAAACACGAAUCCCCCAUUUAAGGAAAUUCAAUAAUAACAACCAUUCUAAUUUCUCAAGAAUCAGUUAAUUGGUCAAACCCAUAAAGUAAAAUAGAUAGUAAACUUGCUAAAACACAAAAGAACACUAUUUAUGGCCAAUCAGAUUGAAAAAAAGAGCUACUAUCGCAUCUUUCUUCUUGUGAGUUUGUUCUUUCUUCAAAAUUUAAAAACUGAAAAGUAGAAUGAGCAAACUUAUUUGGGGCACUGAAGAAAAAUUGUUAUAUAACUUGGCUGAAGGAAACUCACCUUUCCAAGGAAAAUUGGAAAUGCUUCGUAGCAAAAGAAUGAAGUGAGAUUGAGAUUGAUACAGGGGCUUGUCAUUUGUUUGAGCUUUUUCCAGACUUGUUCCGUACGACAGUUAAAUAUAACUGAUUCGGAUACUACGCGGGAUAUUCGCU